rnacentral:rRNA from 1 species
AUACGGGGGGAGCAAGCGUUGUCCGGAAUUACUGGGCGUAAAGCGUACGUAGGCGGUUUAUUAAGUCAGAUGUGAAAGCCCCGGGCUUAACCUGGGAACUGCAUUUGAAACUAGUAGACUAGAGUAUGGUAGAGGGGGGUAGAAUUCCUAGUGUAGCGGUGAAAUGCGUAGAUAUUAGGAGGAAUACCAGUGGCGAAGGCGGCCCCCUGGACCAAUACUGACGCUGAGGUACGAAAGCGUGGGGAGCGAACAGGAUUAGAAACCCCAGUAGUCC